rnacentral:rRNA from 1 species
AGCUCCAAUAGCGUAUAUUAAAGUUGUUGUGGUUAAAAAGCUCGUAGUUUGAUUUCGGCGGGGAGUUGUUGGUUUUAAUUGAUUCAACACUUGCUUUUUUACCCGCGUGUUUUGCCCGAAUCUUUCGGGUGGUCUUUACCGAUUAUCCGUUGGAACUGGCAGGGUUACUUUGAAAAAAUUAAGAGUGCUCAAAGCAAGCUUACUGCUUGAAUAGUUGCGCAUGGAAUAAUAGAAUAGGAAGUCGUUUCUAUUUUGUUGGUUUUCGGAAAUCGACUUAAUGAUUAAUAGGGAUAGUCGGGGGCAUUCGUAUUCAAACGACAGAGGUGAAAUUCUUGGACCGUUUGAAGACGAACUAAGGCGAAAGCAUUUGCCAAGAAGGUUUUCA